CUUUUUAUCCAUAGCAUCUAGCACAAUAUAUGGUAACAUUUACAGAAUUCUCGUCUGAAUAGAUUGAGAAAUACAUAUGGGGGGAGGAUUGGUGAGGGGAGUAUUCUAAUGUUAUCUGCAGUCAGCCAACAGAAUAACUUUUUCCCCCAGCCUUAGUGACAUAAAAAGUUGGGGGCAAAGAGCAAGAGGGAGAUGAGAUGUCCACACAGAAAUGACCAGGGUGAGGUUGUCCUGCCCCAGUGGACCUGCCCCUAAAUGAACUCAGGAGAGAUGCUUGCUUUUGGACCCACCCAUCCUCUCUGUGGUCUGCCAGUACUGUUGGGGUUUUGUUGUCUUGAACAUUAUGAAUAUUAAUAUAAUGGGUUCUUUUUUCCAAGUAUGUCAUGAUUCCAAGCUGUCCUUUUAGCUCCUAUUCAUAGCAAAGGUCUUGAAUCACUCCAGGGGAGGGAGCUUCCUGGCUUCUGAUCUUUCUUUCCACUGCUCUUAAAUUGCCUCUACCAAGCACUUUGCUAGGCUUAGACAAAAACCUGUUCCUCUGCUGUGGAGUUCCACUCCCUCUUCUGAUUUCCUGCUACUCUGAUACUACAGGUUCUUCUGUUAGAAAGUAUGCAUUUCACUGUAGCAGGAAAUACUAAAUUAGUUUUAUUAUCUGACCAACUUUUAGCCUUUUUGGAAACACCCAUUACCACAGCCUGAUAAUUUAGCAAGAAGUUUGAUUCAUAAUUGCAGUCUCUCUUCCCUCCUGCAUACUUACUUCAAGAUUGCGGCAAAGGGCUGGCCAUUGGGGCACCUCUACCCUUCCUCGCCAUUUAAGAGUUGGCCAUUAUGAUGCAGCUGCCUUUCUCUGUGUCCACAUAAGUCACCACACAUCACCCUUAACCAGUAAGUUCAGUUGCUAUUCCUUCUAACUGGCCACUUACUCCCAGAUACUGCCAAGGUGUCAUCCUUUAGCUGUUUUGUUUGGGUUUUUUUUUUUUAACCCCUUUAAGGCCACUCACUGUUCUUAAGGUUCUUCCCUCUUCCCUGAGCUUCUGAGGUGUCCUGCCCACAGCCCUCCAAAUGACUUAUGUCUCCAAUCCCAGAUGUUCUGUCCUUCUUGAAUCCUGGGUCUAUAUUACCACUUAGAUGUGUCUAUGUACUGGGGCUGGAGGAGUUCUCAAGAGGUGGAGCACCUGCCUUGAGUUCAAAUCUUUCAAUGAAAGAUGUCCUAAUGGGAGCUCUGCAAUCACCUCCUUCCAUAUACAGGAUCCUCCCAUAUCCAUUCAGCCUCCCAGGCACAACACCAAGUCACUCUGAGCCAAUCCUCCACAGGCUCCAUUUGUGCUUGAAUCAUUUCUGUACGGCUAGGUCUCAGCUGUACCUCGCCAGGACUCACAGUCAUCUUCUGACGGGCAGGCAGCAGUGGGGAGAUAGCUCGCAGGCGGGCCGCCAUCAUCAAGUAUCUCACAGCAUCUGUGGUCCACUCCCUGGGUGCCCCAGGCCCUGGACAUCGCGCGGGUUGUGAGAUUGGGGUAUGGCGCCCUUUCUACUCUGUCUCAUCAUGGCACCCCUGAGCUCUAGGCUUGGGUCCUCUACCAAACCUGCAUCUGAACUUCUACCGCCCAUCUGAUGGCCUCCUUCCCCCUUCUGGUUCGGCGCUGCUGCCUUCCCAAAUUUGGUUCCUCAUUGAAUGCCUUGCCUGG